GAUGAACGCUGACAGAAUGCUUAACACAUGCAAGUCAACUUGAACUUCGGUUUGGGUGGCGGACGGGUGAGUAACGCGUAAAGAACUUGCCUCACAGAUAGGGACAACAUUUGGAAACGAAUGCUAAUACCUGAUAUUAUGAUUUUAGGGCAUCCUAGGAUUAUGAAAGCUAUAUGCGCUGUGAGAGAGCUUUGCGUCCCAUUAGCUAGUUGGAGAGGUAACGGCUCACCAAGGCGAUGAUGGGUAGCCGGCCUGAGAGGGUGAUCGGCCACAAGGGGACUGAGACACGGCCCUUACUCCUACGGGAGGCAGCAGUGGGGAAUAUUGGACAAUGGACCAAGAGUCUGAUCCAGCAAUUCUGUGUGCACGAUGAAGUUUUUCGGAAUGUAAAGUGCUUUCAGUUGGGAAGAAAAAAAUGACGGUACCAACAGAAGAAGUGACGGCUAAAUAUGUGCCAGCAGCCGCGGUAAUACGUAUGUCACAAGCGUUAUCCGGAUUUAUUGGGCGUAAAGCGCGUCUAGGUGGUUAUAUAAGUCUGAUGUGAAAAUGCAGGGCUCAACUCUGUAUUGCGUUGGAAACUGUGUAACUAGAGUACUGGAGAGGUAAGCGGAACUACAAGUGUAGAGGUGAAAUUCGUAGAUAUUUGUAGGAAUGCCGAUGGGGAAGCCAGCUUACUGGACAGAUACUGACGCUGAAGCGCGAAAGCGUGGGUAGCAAACAGG
rnacentral:rRNA from 1 species